rnacentral:rRNA from 1 species
CAUAUCAAUAAGCGGAGGAAAAGAAACUAACAAGGAUUCCCCUAGUAACUGCGAGUGAAGCGGGAAAAGCUCAAAUUUAAAAUCUGGUGGUCUUUGAUCAUCCGAGUUGUAAUCUAGAGAAGUGUUAUCCGCGUUGGACCGUGUACAAGUCUCCUGGAAUGGAGCGUCAUAGAGGGUGAGAAUCCCGUCUUUGACACGGACUACCAGUGCUUUGUGAUGCGCUCUCAAAGAGUCGAGUUGUUUGGGAAUGCAGCUCAAAAUGGGUGGUAAAUUCCAUCUAAAGCUAAAUAUUGGCGAGAGACCGAUAGCGAACAAGUACCGUGAGGGAAAGAUGAAAAGAACUUUGGAAAGAGAGUUAAACAGUACGUGAAAUUGCUGAAAGGGAAACGCUUGAAGUCAGUCGCGUUGUCCGGGGAUCAACCUUGCUUUUGCUGGGUGUACUUUCCGGUUAACGGGUCAGCAUCAAUUUUGACCGUUGGAUAAAGUGUAGAGAAAUGUGGCAUCUUCGGGUGUGUUAUAGUCUUUAUUCGCAUACAACGGUUGGGAUUGAGGAACUCAGUACGCCGCAAGGCCGG